rnacentral:rRNA from 1 species
UGAGGAAUAUUGGUCAAUGGACGCAAGUCUGAACCAGCCAAGUAGCGUGCAGGAUGACGGCCCUAUGGGUUGUAAACUGCUUUUAUAUGGGGAUAAAGUGGGGAACGUGUUCCCUUUUGCAGGUACCAUAUGAAUAAGGACCGGCUAAUUCCGUGCCAGCAGCCGCGGUAAUACGUAGGUGGCAAGCGUUGUCCGGAUUUAUUGGGCGUAAAGGGGGCGCAGGCUGCUUCUUAAGUCUGAUGUGAAAGCCCACGGCUUAACCGUGGAAGUGCAUUGGAAACUGGGAAGCUUGAGUACAGAAGAGGAAAGUGGAACUCCAUGUGUAGCGGUGGAAUGCGUAGAUAUAUGGAAGAACACCAGUGGCGAAAGCGACUUUCUGGUCUGUCACUGACGCUGAGGCCCGAAAGCGUGGGUAGCAAACAGG